rnacentral:rRNA from 1 species
UACAGAGGAGCCAAGCGUUGUCCGGAUUGACUGGGCGUAAAGCGCACGCAGGCGGUUGCGCGCGUGGGGGGUGAAAUCUGGCCGCUUAACGGCCAGGCGCCAUCCCAUACGGCGCGACUGGAGCGAUGCAGAGGUCGGUGGAAUUGCCGGUGUAGUGGUGAAAUGCGUAGAGAUCGGCAGGAACACCCGUGGCGAAGGCGAGACUCUGGACAGUAUCUGACGCUCAUGCACGAAGGUCAGGGUAGCGAACGGG